UACAGAGGGUGCAAGCGUUAAUCGGAAUUACUGGGCGUAAAGCGUGCGUAGACGGUUAUGUAAGUCAGAUGUGAAAGCCCCGGGCUCAACCUGGGAAUUGCAUUUGAGACUGCAUAGCUAGGGUGCGGAAGAGGGAAGCGGAAGUUUCCGGUGUGAGCGGUGAAAUGCGUAGAUAUACGGAAGGAACAUCAGUGGCGAAGGCGGCCCUCUGGUCCAGUACUGGACACUCAAGUGCGAAAGCGUGGGGAGCAAACAGGA
rnacentral:rRNA from 1 species